rnacentral:lncRNA from 1 species
CUAGCAAUCAUAUUGGAGUAACUCAUGGAUCGUGACUAUGUGUAAUUAGUUGAUAGUUGAUUGCAUUUUUAUAGCUCUCCUAGAAUAGCUCUACAUUCUCCUUGUAUAUAAAAGUUGUUGUAUCAUUUGAAGAUGAUCAAUACAGAAAUGUAUUACAUUCACAAUUUCUUAGAAAUUACCAAGUUCCAUAGACGAAAUACAUUGCAGUACAGAACCAUUUACUUAACCAACCCAAAGCUUCAAUUUCAUACGUAGUUUUGAAUCUACCAGAUUUAAGACCUUUGAAUCAACAUUUUUUCUGUUAACUUCUGUAUACCCAUUUCCUCUACCUGCAAUAAACCAAUGAGACAUAGAACUCCAAGCUAGAAUUCUCAAAAUGACUGGAAGAAGAUUAGUACCUAAAGCUAAAAUGCUCAACAAAAGCCUUAUCAACAUCUUUCAAUCACGUGCACAUAUUCUAUUAUGUUAUGUAAAUAUUUGAAAAAUUAAUAGUUUUCGCUUCUAUUUAUCUGUAUGCAUGGCAAUUGAACAACAUGAAAUUCAACUUGGAGAGCCACUAGUUCAUGGUAACAUUAAUUUUCUUAUUAUAAUUUCUUUUUUACAUAACUAAAUCAUUUCAAAUUUACAGGUUCUAGUUCUAGUACUUGUACAAGUGAUGAUGUCAGUUCUCAACAAUGUGGAAGAAAAGAAAGCUAGACACCAACGAAAAGCAAGAUCUUCCCAGGUAAAAUCUACAAUAAAAAAUAUAGUCUAUAACAGAAAAUUCUCUAUAAUAGCUCUUUGAUUGUUAAGAUCAAAAGCUCUACACUAGCAAUACUUAUACAAACAUCACCAAAGCCACACACAAAAAAAACUACAAGUAGGUUCAGCUUUAGCCAAGUACAAUAUGAAAAACAAAAAAACCGAAAAAAUCAAUCUCAAGGGGGGGAGAUUGCCACCCCUGAUUAUAAAACCACUUAAAAGUUUUCAUUUAGAAAGGAACCUAUAAAGGAGCUUAAUAAUAUAACAAGGCAAACUAGAUGGUUGAUAGAUAUGGAUGUUCAUCAAAAUAGUAUUAGCUAUGAAUAAAGUUUUGAUACAUUUUAAAUGUACAUGUGAUAUGACUUCAAAGAUACAAUCAUUCACAUCUUCCUUAUGAAGAUAAUCCAUAAUAUGGUUGUAUUGUAAUAUUUUUCAUUUUUUUUUUAUAGGUGCUUGACUUAGUUAUACUCUAAUUUGCCAAUGAAGACAAAUUGGAAACAACUGCUACCGAGAUAAUGGAAGAAUAUAACAACAAAUGUGCAGCAAAAGAAAUGGCGGCAAAAAACCUGAAUCAAGUUAAAGCUAUGUGCAGCAGACUCGAAUCAAUCACACNNNNNNNNNNNNNNNNNNNNGUUGUUAUAUUCUUCCAUUAUCUCGGUAGCAGUUGUUUCCAAUUUGUCUUCAUUGGCAAAUUUGAGUAUGACUAAGUCAAGCACCUGUAAAAAAAAUGAAAAAUAUUACAAUACAACUAUAUUAUGGAUUAUCUUCAUAAGGAAGUUGUGAAUGAUUGUGUCUUUAAAGUCAUACCACAUGUACAUUUAAAAUGUAUCAAAACUUUAUUUGUAGCUAAUACUAUUUAUGAACAUCCAUAUCUAUCGACCAUCUAGUUUACCUUGUUAUAUUAUUAAGCUCCCUUAUAGGUUCCUUUCUAAAUAAAAACUUUGAGUGGUUUAAUAAUCAGGGGUGGCAAUCCUCCCCCCGCCCGCGGGUGCUUGAAUUUCAUACGUUGUUUUGAAUCAACUAGAUUUAAGACCUUUGAAUCAUCAUUUUUUCUGUUAACUUCUGUAUACCCAUUUCCUCUACCUGCAAUAAACCAGUGAGACUUAGAACUCCAAGCUAGAAUUCUCAAAAUGACUGAAAGAAGAUUAGUACCUAAAAUGCUCAACAAAAGCCUUAUCAACAUCUUUCAAUCACAUGCACAUAUUCUAUUAUGUUCUGUAAAUGUUUGAAAAAUUAAUCGUUUUUGCUUCUAUUUAUUAGUAUGGCAAUUAAACAACAUGAAAUUCAACUUGGAGAGCCACUAGUUCAUGGCGAAAACAUGGUAACAAUAAUUUUCCUAUUAUAAUUUCUUUUUUACAUAACUAAAUCAUUUCAAAUUUACAGGUUCUAGUUCUAGUACCUGUACAAGUGAUGAUGUCAGUUCUCAACAAUGUGGAAGAAAAGAAAGCUAUACACCAACGAAAAGUAAAAUCUUCCCAGGUAAAAUCUACAAUAAAAAAUAUAGUUUAUAACAGAAAAUUCCCUAUAAUAGCUCUUUGAUUCUUAGGAUCAAAAGCUCUACACCAGCAAUACUUAUACAAACAUCAUCAAAGCCACACAAAAAAAAAACUACAAGUAGGUUUAGCUUAGCCAAGUACAAUAUGAAAAACAAAAAAACCGAAAAAAUCAAUCUCAAGGGGGGGGAGAUUGCCACCCCUGAUUAUAAAACCACUCAAAAGUUUCAUUUAGAAAGGAACCUAUAAAGGAGCUUAAUAAUAUAAUAAGGCAAACUAGAUGGUCGAUAGAUAUGGAUGUUCAUCAAAAUAGUAUUAGCUAUGAAUAAAGUUCUCAUACAUUUUAAAUGUACAUGUGAUAUGACUUCAAAGACACAAUCAUUCACAACUUCCUUAUGAAGAUAAUCCAUAAUAUGGUUGUAUUGUAAUAUUUUUCAUUUUUUUUUACAAGUGCUUGACUUAGUCAUACUCUAAUUUGCCAAUGAAGACAAAUUGGAAACAACUGCUACCAAGAUAAUGGAAGAAUAUAACAACAAAUGUGCAGCAAAAGAAAUGGCGGCAAAAAACCUGAAUCAAGUUAAAGCUAUGUGCAGCAGACUCGAAUCAAUCNNNNNNNNNNNNNNNNNNNNAUUGAUUUUUAAGAUGUCGUGUGAUUGAUUUGAGUCUGCUGCACAUAGCUUUAACUUGAUUCAGGUUUUUUGCCGCCGUUUCUUUUGCUGCACAUAUGUUGUUAUAUUCUUUCAUUAUCUCGGUAGCAGUUGUUUCCAAUUUGUCUUCAUUGGCAAAUUUGAGUAUGACUAAGUCAAGCACCUAGUAAAAAAAAAUGAAAAAUAUUACAAUACAACUAUAUUAUGGAUUAUCUUCAUAAGGAAGUUGUGAAUGAUUGUGUCUUUAAAGUCAUACCACAUGUACAUUUAAAAUGUAUUAGAACUUUAUUCAUAACUAAUACUAUUUGAUGAACAUUCAUAUCUAUCGACCAUCUAGUUUGCCUUGUUAUAUUAUUAAGCUCCCUUAUAGGUUCCUUUCUAAAUGAAAACUUUUGAAGAAACUUCUGUCGAAUUUUUAACACUGAGCUACAGUAUCACAUGCCGGACUUUGGCAAUGAGGUAAAAACCUAAAAAGAAUACAACUUUGGCAAUAGAAGAUCAACAUAUCAAAAUGAAAAGAAACAAACUUUGAUCAGAUCGGAUAAAACGAAUGGGAAUUUGGUCAAACCACAACUAUAAUAUCCUGGAAGUUUAUCGACGUAGCUUCAAUAGAAUCGGCAAUCAGGUAAAAACCCAAAAAGAAUACAACUUUGGCAAUAGAAGAUCAACAAAUCAAAAUGAAAAGAAACAAACUUUGAUCAGAUCUGAUAAAAAGAAUGGAAAUUUGGUCAAACAACAACCACAUAUCCCGGAAAUUUAUCGACGUAGCUUCAAUAGAAUCGGUAAAAACCCAUUUCAAAUGUCCGAUGAUUUAAUAAACGCAAAGAGAUUUGUUCAAAGAAACAAAACAACUUUGGCAAUCAAGUAAAAACUAAAAAGAAUAAAACUUUGGCCAUACCAUGAACAUGCCGGAUUCUGGGAGCUUCAAUAUAUCCAUCGGCAAGAUCUGAUAGAUCCACUGGUUUCGGUGCUAUUUCAUUUUGUUUGCUUCCUCGUACACAUACUACUUCCACCGCUCCUUCUGUUCCAGUUAAGUCUCCGCGCUGUCAUGUUUUGUUUCCUUUUCUUUCUUUUUCUUUUUUCUCCCCCAUAAUUAACUUUUAUUUCGAUUUUAUCAAUUUUAGGAAAGGAAAUUCUACCUGUGUAAAAAUGUUAUGAUUCUAUCUAUCUAUUUAGACUAUGUAUAUGUGUCUCGAGAACAUCUUUAGUGCACGGCGUGUAUCUUCACAUACAUACAUUGAUGGUCAGGAUUAGAUGAAAUAAAAUAGAAACAUAGUGGUCAAACAUAUGAAUUGUUAUAAACGAUUAAGAUUGUACCGUGCACGUCGUGCCAGUCUCAACGUCUUUUUCAAUUCAAAAUAAAGUUUUACCAUAGAC